GACGAACGCUGGCGGUGUGCUUAACACAUGCAAGUCGAACGGAAAGGCCCUGCUUUUGUGGGGUGCUCGAGUGGCGAACGGGUGAGUAACACGUGAGUAACCUGCCCUUGACUUUGGGAUAACUUCAGGAAACUGGGGCUAAUACCGGAUAGGAGCUCCUGCUGCAUGGUGGGGGUUGGAAAGUUUCGGCGGUUGGGGAUGGACUCGCGGCUUAUCAGCUUGUUGGUGGGGUAGUGGCUUACCAAGGCUUUGACGGGUAGCCGGCCUGAGAGGGUGACCGGCCACAUUGGGACUGAGGUACGGCCCAGACUCCUACGGGAGGCAGCAGUGGGGAAUAUUGCACAAUGGGCGGAAGCCUGAUGCAGCAACGCCGCGUGCGGGAUGACGGCCUUCGGGUUGUAAACCGCUUUCGCCUGUGACGAAGCGUGAGUGACGGUAAUGGGUAAAGAAGCACCGGCUAACUACGUG
rnacentral:rRNA from 1 species